rnacentral:tRNA from 1 species
CAUGGUGUAAUGGUUAGCAUUCCAGACUUCCACUCUGGAGAUGGGAGUUCAAAUCUUCCUGC